GUCUGAGCUUAGAGUUUGAUCCUGGCUCAGAGCGAACGCCGGCGGCGUGCUUAACACAUGCAAGUCGAACGUGAAAAGGGGCAACCCUGAGUAAAGUGGCGAACGGGCGAGUAACGCGUAGGUAAUCUACCCUAGAGACUGGAAUAACCUACCGAAAGGUGGGCUAAUACUAGAUAGUGCGAAAGAUAUAUAAUAGUAUUUUUUGGGAAAGGAGGCUCUUGAAAUAGAGGCUUCCACUUUAGGAUGAGCCUGCGUCUCAUUAGCUAGUUGGUAGGGUAACGGCCUACCAAGGCGAUGAUGGGUAGCUGGUCUGAGAGGAUGAUCAGCCACACUGGAACUGAAACACGGUCCAGACUCCUACGGGAGGCAGCAGUGGGGAAUCUUGCGCAAUGGAGGAAACUCUGACGCAGCCACGCCGCGUGAGUGAAGAAGGCCUUCGGGUUGUAAAGCUCUGUCGCACGGGACGAAAGGCAUCAGGGCUAAUAUCCUUGAUGUUUGACGGUACCGUGAGAGGAAGCACCGGCUAACUCCGUGCCAGCAGCCGCGGUAAUACGGAGGGUGCAAGCGUUGCUCGGAAUUAUUGGGCGUAAAGGGCAAGUAGGUGGUCUUAUUUGUCUGAGGUGAAAGCCUUGGGCUUAACUCAAGAAGUGCCUCAGAGACGGUAAGACUAGAGUACUGGAGAGGGUCGUGGAAUUCCCGGUGUAGCGGUGAAAUGCGUAGAGAUCGGGAGGAACACCAGAUGCGAAGGCGGCGACCUGGACAGUAACUGACACUCAACUGCGAAAGCGUGGGGAGCAAACAGGAUUAGAUACCCUGGUAGUCCACGCCGUAAACGAUGGGUACUAGGCAUGGCGGGUCUUGACCCCUGCCGAGCCUGAGCUAACGCGAUAAGUACCCCGCC
rnacentral:rRNA from 1 species